UACGUAGGGUGCGAGCGUUAAUCGGAAUUACUGGGCGUAAAGCGUGCGCAGGCGGUUCGCCCCGUCUGCUGUGAAAGCCCCGGGCUCAACCUGGGAACUGCAUUGGAAACUAACGGGCUCGAGUGUGGCAGAGGGGGGUGGAAUUCCACGUGUAGCAGUGAAAUGCGUAGAGAUGUGGAGGAACACCGAUGGCGAAGGCAGCCCCCUGGGCUAACACUGACGCUCAGGCACGAAAGCGUGGGGAGCAAACAGG
rnacentral:rRNA from 1 species